rnacentral:lncRNA from 1 species
UUUGGUGUUGUUGCAAGUAGAUAGAGAAUGAUUAGGCAGCCAACUCCCGGGUCGGUAUGUGUAUCCUUGUUUGGAUUUUGAGCGGUGGAAAAUGGGUUCGGAGAAUUAUCAGCGUAUUUAGUAGCGUUAGCGUUUUCUUGUAUUCCAAUUGAGAAAUUGGAUACACCGAGAUUGCAAUUUGGAAAAUGCAGAUCUAAUUUUGGGGUUCAGAGGAAAUAUAUUAUUGUGUCUAUAUGAUGCUUGGGGCAGGAGAUCAGUGGUUGUGGCAGGAUCUUGUGAUGUUCUGUUGGGGUAUUCUGAGAUAUCCGGGUAUGAUAUCUUUAUUUCGGAGUUACUCUUGAAUCUUGAAUUAAAUCGACUUGUGGUAUAUCAAGUAUCUAUGGAUCUAGUGGGAGCCCUUCGAGUAUGGGCAUCCAGGGAGAUUAUUUGAGAGAGUGGAUUUUCGCAAGGGUGGGCAUUUGUUAUGUUGAUUGCCUCCAGAGUCUGUGAUGGAUAUUCGAGUCGUAUNAGAGGAAAUGUAUUAUUGUGUCUAUAUGAUGCUUGGGGCAGGAGAUCAGUGGUUGUGGCAGGAUCUUGUGAUGUUCUGUUGGGGUAUUCCGAGAUAUCUGGGUAUGAUAUCUUUAUUUCGGAGUUACUCGUGAAUCUUGAAUUGAAUCGACUUGUGGUAUAUCAGGUAUCUAUGGAUCUAGUGGGAGCCCUUCGAGUAUGGGCAUCCAGGGAGAUUAUUUGAGAGAGUGGAUUUUCGCAAGGGUGGGCAUUUGUUAUGUUGAUUGCCUCCAGAGUCUGUGAUGGAUAUUCGAGUCGAGUAUGGGUAGCCACUGAUGAUAGACUGCGGAGCACGAGCUAGUGGAGUCAGAGGGUGUUGUGAUACUGCGGGGAGCCGUAGUACUCACUAGUCAGAGGGUGUUGUGAUACUGCGGGGAGCCGUAGUACUCACUAGUCAGAGGGUGUUGUGAUACUGCGGGGAGCCGUAGUACUCACUAGUCAGAGGGUGUUGUGAUACUGCGGGGAGCCGUAGUACUCACUAUUCAGAGGGUGUUGUGAUACUGCGUGGAGUCGCAGUACUCACUAGAUGGCAAGAGAAUGUGAUGUUGGAAUGUUUUCCGAGCAGUUUAUGAUAUGGAAGAGUUUUGGGUUUGAGUAGCCCUAGUAUUGAGUCUUUGGAGCCUGGAUGUUGAAUCGGGGGCGAGACGGGGGUCUCCGUCUCUGUCGGGAGAUGCGGUGAGAUGCGCAAGGGAUAUGCGCAGCAGAAACCGGAGAUCAGAGCUGAGACGAUCCUCGAUUGGAUCGUAUUCUUCUCGCAUGAGGAAAAGAGGAUUUCGUGACUUGCGUGUCACUGGGCA